rnacentral:misc_RNA from 1 species
CUAGCCUACUACUAGGCACUAGUUAAUGGGGAAAAAGAAAACGUGCAUCCACUAUCUUCUCAUUGUAAGAGUCCCUCAACAUAGACAACAUUGAAAAAAAUGGAAAAUACUUCAAAACUUCUUUAGAUUUGUGUUACCAACCAAAUAAGUAACUACUUUUAACAUAGCUUGCUACCUUUAAAUGUGUACCGCUCUCUAUUUCAGAUGACAUACAUCCUAAAAACAGCUAAGAGCUUGUUUGGUUCAAUUCCAAAACA